GUGAGGAAUAUUGCGCAAUGGGCGAAAGCCUGACGCAGCGACGCCGCGUGAAGGAUGAAGGCCUUAGGGUCGUAAACUUCUGUUAAGUGGGAAGAAAAGCCAAGCUCUAAUACAGCUUGGUAAUGACGGUACCACUAGAGAAAGCACCGGCUAACUUCGUGCCAGCAGCCGCGGUAAUACGAGGGGUGCUAGCGUUAUUCGGAAUUAUUGGGCGUAAAGGGUGCGUAGACGGCGCAUUAAGUCACCUGUUAAAUUCUUCGGCUCAACCGAAGAUCUGCGGGCGAUACUGAUGUGCUAGAGGAUGGAAGAGAGAAGUGGAAUUCUCGGAGUAGCGGUAAAAUGCGUAGAUCUCGAGAGGAACAUCGAUGGCGAAGGCAGCUUCUUGGUCCAUUCCUGACGUUGAGGCACGAAAGCGUGGGGAGCAAACAGG
rnacentral:rRNA from 1 species